rnacentral:ncRNA from 20 species
UACCUUUGCCACAGUUUUGGUUUCACGGCUCCCAACCGCUACGGGAGGCGUGAUGAAAAGGGAAUCAGGUGCGAAUCCUGAACAGACCCGCUGCUGUAAGUUCCUCUCCAAAUCUUUGAAUACGCUACAAGCCACUGUCCGUCACCGGAUGGGAAGGCAUUCAAAGACGGAACAAGUCAGAAGACCUGCCAAAACAAACAUAGUUUUA